rnacentral:misc_RNA from 1 species
UAUCCGUAGGUGAACCUGCGGAAGGAUCAUUACAGUGUUCCCUGCCCUUCGGGGUAGGAUCGCCACCCUUGAUUAUUUAUGAGUGUUGCUUUGGCGGGCCUCGCGGCCUGGCCGCGCCCCGGCUUCGGCGGGGGAGCGCCCGCCAGAGGAUUCUACAAACCUGAUUAUUAGUGUCGUCUGAGUACUAUAUAAUAGUUAAAACUUUCAACAACGGAUCUCUUGGUUCUG